AGAGUUUGAUCCUGGCUCAGGACGAACGCUGGCGGCGUGCUUAACACAUGCAAGUCGAACGAGAGGAGAAGGAAGCUUGCUUCUUUCAAAUCUAGUGGCAAACGGGUGAGUAACACGUAAACAACCUGCCUUCAGGAUGGGGACAACAGACGGAAACGACUGCUAAUACCGAAUACGUUCCUUAGGUCGCAUGACUUUAGGAAGAAAGGGUGGCCUCUACUUGUAAGCUAUCGCCUGAAGAGGGGUUUGCGUCUGAUUAGGUAGUUGGUGAGGUAACGGCCCACCAAGCCGACGAUCAGUAGCCGGUCUGAGAGGAUGAACGGCCACACUGGAACUGAGACACGGUCCAGACUCCUACGGGAGGCAGCAGUGGGGAAUCUUCCGCAAUGGGCGAAAGCCUGACGGAGCAACGCCGCGUGAGUGAUGACGGCCUUCGGGUUGUAAAGCUCUGUGAUCGGGGACGAACGGUCAGCAGACGAAUACUCUGCUGAAGUGACGGUACCCGAAUAGCAAGCCACGGCUAACUACGUGCCAGCAGCCGCGGUAACACGUAGGUGGCAAGCGUUGUCCGGGAAUUAUUGGGCGUAAAGCGCGCGCAGGCGGCUUCUUAAGUCCAUCUUAAAAGUGCGGGGCUUAACCCCGUGAUGGGAUGGAAACUGAGAGGCUGGAGUAUCGGAGAGGAAAGUGGAAUUCCUAGUGUAGCGGUGAAAUGCGUAGAGAUUAGGAAGAACACCGGUGGCGAAAGGCGACUUUCUGGACGACAACUGACGCUGAGCGCGAAAGCGUGGGAGCAACAGGAUUAGAUACCCUGUAGUCCACGCCGUAACGAUGAAUACUAGGUGUAGAGUAUCGACCCCUUCUGUGCGAGCUACACAUAGUAUCCGCCUGGGAGUACGAUCGCAGAUAAACUCAAGGAAUGACGGGGCCCGCACAGCGUGGAGUAUGUGGUUUAUUCGACGCACCGCGAGACUACCAGUCUUUGACAUGAUCGCUAUCAAGAAUGAGUUCCUCUCUCGAGGACGAAAAAGGUGGUGCACGGCUGUCUCAGCUCUGUUCCUGGAAUUUGGUUAGUUCCGCACAGGCACAUCUUAGUACAGCACGUUAUGGUGGGGACUCAUGAGAGACCGCCGCGGACAACGCGGAGGAAGGUGGGGAUGACGUCAAGUCAUCAUGCCCCUUAUGACCUGGGCUACACACGUACUACAAUGGGUGUCAACAAAGAGAAGCGAAGCCGCGAGGCAGAGCAAACCUCAAAAACACACCCCCAGUUCAGAUUGCAGGCUGCAACCCGCCUGCAUGAAGUAGGAAUCGCUAGUAAUCGCGGGUCAGCAUACCGCGGUGAAUACGUUCCCGGGCCUUGCACACACCGCCCGUC
rnacentral:rRNA from 1 species